rnacentral:lncRNA from 1 species
UAUAAAUCCGUGUACCAUAAUCCUUCAUACCGUUUCAAGCUUUUGAAGAUUUCUCAAAACGUUGAGCAGGUAUCAAUGGCGGAUUAUCUCUCUGGGUUGAAGACUUCAACCGGAGACAAAAAAAAACCAGUAAAGCGGGUCAAAAUCAUCUCAAAAGCAACGAUAUCAUCUGAAAUAUCAUUCCAAACCAAAUGAUGUUGCAAAGGGACAUGGAGACUAACAGUAAUAGAAAUAACGGUUUUGAGAAUGGUGGAAAAUGCUCAUCCGUGUCGGCAGACAAGGUAUCGUCGAAUGUCUAGAUCUAGAAGCAUAUAACUAUUUCUUUGGUGCUGUCGAAUAAGGCACGCACACAACGGACGCUAUCUUUAUCGGAUGAUGUGACAUUUGUUUUGCUGAUGUCGUUGUACAUGUACAUGUAGGAGUAUAGCUUGCUAUAAGUUUUUUUUAUCAUUGGCAUUUGUUCUCUAUAUCAAUCGCACACUAGCUUCAAUGGUAUUAUUUGUUUUGUUGAUUACACUAAGAUUGUGACGUCAUGUUUAAUUGGGCCAAUGCGUGUGUGGAAUGACAUCUAUUUUUUUUU